UUAUAUGAGAGUUUGAUCCUGGCUCAGGACGAACGCUGGCGGCGUGCCUAAUACAUGCAAGUCGAACGCACGAAGUUGAAGA
rnacentral:rRNA from 1 species